CAGCCGCCGCGGGAAUACGUAGGUGGCAAGCGUUGUCCGGAAUUAUUGGGCGUAAAGGGCUCGCAGGCGGUUUCUUAAGUCUGAUGUGAAAGCCCCCGGCUCAACCGGGGAGGGUCAUUGGAAACUGGGAAACUUGAGUGCAGAAGAGGAGAGUGGAAUUCCACGUGUAGCGGCGAAAUGCGUAGAGAUGUGGAGGAACACCAGUGGCGAAGGCGACUCUCUGGUCUGUAACUGACGCUGAGGAGCGAAAGCGUGGGGAGCGAACAGGAUUAGAUACCCGCGUAGUCCCUGUCUCUUAUAC
rnacentral:rRNA from 1 species